CUGUAAAUCUCAAAGAAGAAAAAGGAGCCGCAUUUGGAUGUUUCCGGGUCUGUUCCUAUGCUUCAGCUGAGGUGGAACCGAGAGCCAGAUCUAGGACCCAAUCGUCAAAGAUCAGCAGAAAUGACCUCCUUCGUCCUUGAUGAGGAGAGCUUCUAUCAGUGCUGCUCGCUCCUCCUCCAGCGAUCCCAGCAACUGAGAGACGACUGGACCUGGGAACCAGGUCAGGGUACAAAGGAGGGGUACCUGCGGAAGACUGCUGUCAGGUCUGUCAUCACUGACUCAGAGCCAGAGACCAUCUUUGGACCUGAUCAUCAGGGACAGGAGCUACAGCAGCAUCAUCCAGCUGCUGCAGGUUGUUUUCAUGGCAACCAUGAUGAUGAUGAUGAUGGAGUGGCUGUUGCAGCAUCUAAAAGCUGCUGUCAUGUGCAUCGAUACGAAUAUCAUAUCCUCUACUCCUGCAGCUUCAGGACGCCUGUGCUCUACUUCCGAGCCUCCACCCUUGAGGGGCGGAGUCUGUCUUUGGAGGAGGUGUGGAGCUCUGUUCAUCAGAAUUACAGACGUCGUCUACAGCAUCAUCCACUGGAUACAAUCACUCAGCAGGAGCACCCGGUCUUGGGCCAGCCUUUCUUUAUGCUGCAUCCAUGCAGAACAGAUGAGUUCAUGAGGCCUUUGCUGCAGGCGGCUCAGCUGGAACACAGGUUUGUAAACUACGUGUUGUCCUGGCUCAGUGUGGUGGGUCCUCUGGUUGGUCUGGACGUCCCACUGAGCUAUUGUCUCCCGCUCUGCCUGACAGACCCAGAAUGACAGCUCGGCUUCGACCCGUCCACACAGGCAAACUGAGGAUGUGGGCCGUGUGAGAUCCGACGUCUCCUGUGCUGGCUGUGACGUGGUGGUUACCUGCUAUUUAGUUUGCUGGCUUCUUAGCCAGAGUUCUCCAGUAAAUCUUUAUCAGAGCUGCUUCGGUCUGACCAUUAAAUUUUGAGGUGGUCCCAGAAGAACGCAGACUGGUGCACAAACGGCGUGAUGUCCUACGUACAGCUGGCACGUGUACGUAGGACAUUUUGAAAUGGAUGCCUGCAACAUGUUUCAAAAAUGCUGGGACAGUGAGUACUUUACCACCAUCACAACUACAACAGCAUUUGAAACAACACAGCUGAGCUGUGAAGACGUGCACACUGAACACAGCUUCUUCAUCAUUGAUGGAAACACGGCGCUGGAUUAAAGCUGAAUGCAGUCCUGCCACAGAACGCAAAGGCUCAUUGUUCAUCACAGUCUCAUGAAAGGAGACCACGUGACACCACCUCUGGAACUCUGCCAACCAGACCAGCUUCCUGUCACACUGGUUUAAAAUGGAGAUGAAAUUAAAUGACUAUGACAGACAAAUUCACCCAGAAAAAAAGAAACCCCUUUGCUUUAUGUAUCAAAUAAUCUAAUUAUUGGGAAAUCCCAAAACCUGUUUCCUGUACAUGUGCAAAAAAAAAAUGCUUUUCUCUUUUUGUUUAUUUUUUAAUUCCUGCUUUUUAUUUGCAAUCAUGUGAUCAUGACAGAAAAAUAAUAUUCUGUCAUCUGUCAUGACUCUGUGGCACCAAGUGUUGGUUUUUACAUUUGUAUUUUCCAUACUGUCCCAACUUUUUCUGAUUUGGGAUUGUAGUUGGAUAAUGUCAUUUUUUUUUUUGCUCUUGCUUGCCUCUACUGGUGGU